rnacentral:rRNA from 1 species
CAACGUUGAUAGGUGGGGUGUGUAAGCGUAGCGAUACGUUGAGCUAACCCAUACUAAUUACCCGUGAGGCUUAACCAU